CCUUCCUCGUAAAACUUAUGUUUUCUUGUAGUGUUUAACUUAAUACACAUUUUUGAGGAAUAGGUAUAAUACAAGUUUAAUUUAGGGUCAAUUUGCCAAAUAACCAAAUUAGAAAAAGAAAUUAAGUGCAGGGCAUUGAUUUUGACAUAAUUAAGUCCAUAAUAAUUAUGUCAAGUUUUAUCUGGUAUUACUUUUUUUUGUUCAAGUUGCCUAUAGAGAAAAAAUUGAUGACAUCAACAAUUUGACACUCCACAAUUAAUUAUUACACGUAAUACAACCAACACCACACUUUUGUUUAACACAUAAAUAUACAUCUAAUUUUUCUAUACCAUAUUACUGAAAUAUAAUAGGAUUCAAAAUCCACUCACAUCUAGUAAAUACUAAACUUUACUCCAAACCUCAACUCCUUAAUACUAAAUCCUAAACUUUAAACAUCACCUUUCUAUCUAAAUACUAAAUCCUAAACCCAAAUAUAAACCUUAAACCCAAUUAUCAAAAUCUGAAAAUAGUAUAUAAUAUUAUGUAAUCUCUUAUAUACUAAAGCGCAAGUCGCAUCACCAAUCUAAUGUUGACAUGUGGAAAAUCUAUUUUUUUUUUAAAUGAAAAAUUCAGAAAACUAAAACACGUUAUCAAAAUAUUGAAGUUUGAAAAUAAGACAAAUAACCAACCUUUUACGACCCAAUCAGGUAAAAUAAUUUUGUAUGAAUUUUUCUUUGCAUCUCCUAUUUUUCUGGAGUCUAAAUAUAAACUAACACAAGUCAUUUAACAAUUCUCUGAUUGGCAUGUGUCAUUUACCGUUUCUAAAAAAAUUAACCUUUUGUUUUCACAAUAAUUAAUUAAAUACAUUCAGAAUUUUCAGCAAUUGGGUAAACCUAAAAAACAAAUAAAACAACCUCAAAAUCCCUUGCAUACUUUUUUGAAACUGCAAAAUCUAAAUCCCUGAAUUUUCUUAGAUCACCACGUCCAAAAGUGAAGAUAUCAUCAUAACUUCUAUAUCAUGGCACGUUUCGAACUGUUUAUUCUUAUGUAUAUAUAACUUUCAGUCAACUAAUUUGUUUCUAUUCGCUCUUUUUUUUUCCACAGUUUCAUCUUCCUCCUCGAAUUGUUUUUUUCUUUUGGGUUUUGAAUGUAGCAAAAGAAAACAGAUACAUGUUUAUAUUUUUCCUAAAAAAAAUCCAGAUUCAAUGUUAUCUUCUUUUUUUUUGGUAAUCGAUUCAAUGUUAUCUUCUUCUUAACUUAAUGCUCUCUUCUUCUUUUUUUGCAUGAUUCACAAUAAAGAUACCAAUGGAGUUUUCUCCUGAUUCAGAGCUUAGUUCUUCCAGAAAAAUGGGAAAUCAAAAGCAUUGUCAAGACCAAGGGACAACAGAUUUAGAUGUGUAUACAGAGAUUCCAAACACCAGACCUUAACUCGAUUUGAAAUACUAACGUUUAUAAUGGUUAUAGAGAAAAAUAAAACCUGGGCCAUAUUACCACUGAGGAACGUGAAAAUAGUUUUUGGUGCUGCGGUGGGAACUACCGAACAUGAUUAAGGUCAAUUGUUCAAUCAUUUGGCAAAAGAAAGACAACUUAUGUUUCCGUUAAGAAACGUGAAGAUGACAUAUUGGUGGUGCUGCUGGGACGCAAUUGAGGUAAUUGUUAUGAUUUUCUCGAUAUAUUAUCCAUAAUUUAUGUUUUAUGCAAAUAUAAAUUAAUACUCUUCGGUAUCUCUUGACACCCAAUAAAAGUGGUAUGACAAUAUACGUGGAGUUAAUAUCUUUUUAACCCAAAGUGUGUUGUCAAUACACGUUCAAAAUAUAUGUUGAAUUUAUAAAAAAAAUAAGAUUGUUUCCCGUACGUAGUAGUACGGGAUCAACACACUAGUAUUAAACUAAAUCCAAACCUAAUUUUUGAAUAGUAUAGGACUCCAAUCCAACACACAACUACUCAAUGCUAAACUCAGACCUAACUUUUGAAUACUAAACUCAAAAAUACUAUCACUAAACCCAAACCUAGACUCUCACCUUCCAAAUACUAAACCUUAAACCCAAGUAUAGACUCUAAACCCAAAUAGAAUGGAACAAAAUACAUAGUAUAGUACAAAUUGGUGAGCAAAAUAGAACACUCUUUAUUAAUCGUCAAAUGGAACAUACAUAAUACGGUCACUAAACCAAAACCUCAACCCCCACCUUCCAAAUACUAAACCCUAUAUCUUAAUCGCUAAACCCUAAACCCAAGUAUAAACUCUAAACCCAAAUAGUAUAGAACAAAAUACAUAGUAUAGUACAUAUAGUUGUAAACUAGAAAUUGAUAAAUAAUGAAUUUAUCAAACAAUCGAUGGUACAAUAAUACAAGAACCGUAGCAUACUAUUUAGUUUAGUACUUGCGAAUGGCACAAAAAUAUAAGAAUCGUACUAGACUAUAAUUUUCUUUCACUACAUAUAGUAUAGUAGGCGAGUUCA